UGGGGUGACAAUAAUGCAGUCGUACGCUUCUUUCUUCCGAGUGCUUGCACUCAAUUGAAAAGAGGAGUGGCGGACGGGUGAGUAACACGUGGGUAACCUGCCCAUCAGAGGGGGAUAACACUUGGAAACUAGUGCUAAUACCGCAUAACAGUUUAUGCCGCAUGGUUUAAGAGUGAAAGGCGCUUUCGGGUGUCGCUGAUGGAUGGACCCGCGGUGCAUUAUCUAUUUGGUGAGGUAACGGCUCACCAGGGCCACGAUGCAUACCCCACCUGAGAGGGUGAUCGGCCACACUGGGACUGACACACGGCCCACACUCCUACGGGAGCGCAGCAGUAGGGAAUCCUCGGCAAUGGACGAAAGUCUGACSGAGCAACCCCGCGUGAGUGAAAAAGGUUUUCAGAUCGUAAAUCUCUGGUGUUAGAAAAGAACAGGGACGAUAGUAACUGAACGUCCCCUGACGGUAUCUAACCAAAAAGCCACGGCUAACUACUUGCCACCACCCGCGGUAAUACUUAGGUGGCAAGCGUUGUCCGGAUUUAUUGGGCGUAAAGCGAGCGCAGGCGUUUUCUUAAUUCUGAUGUGAAAGCCCCCGGCUCACCCGGGAAGGGUCAUUGAAAACUGGGAAACUGGAGUGCAAAAAAGGAAAGUGAAAUUCCAUGUGUAGCGGUGAAAUGCGUAAAUAUAUGGAGGAACACCAGUGGCGAAAGGCGGGCUCUCUGGUCUGUAACUGACGGCUAAGGCUUCGAAAGCGUGGGGAGCAAACAGGAUUAGAUACCCUGGUAGUCCACGCCGUAAACGAUGAGUGCUAAUUGUUGGAAGGGUUUCCCCCCUUCAGUGCUGGCAGCAAACGCUUUAAGCACUCCGCCCUGGGGGGAGUACAGACCGCAGGUUUGAAACCUCAAAGGAAUUGGACGGGGGGCCCGCCACAAGGCGGUGAGAGCCAGUGUGUUUUAUUUGGAAGCAACCGCGAAGAACCUUAUCCAGGUUCUGGACAUCCUUUGGACCCCUUCAGAGAAUAGAGCUUUCCCUUCGGGGGCAAAAUGAGCCGGUGGUGCCAGGUUGUUGUCAGCCCGUGUUGUGGGAAGUUGGGGUAAGUCCCGCAACGAGCGCAACCCUUUUUGUUUGUUGCCCUCCAUUAGUUGGGCACAUCUAGCGAGGCUUCCGGGGGCCAACCGGAGGAAGAGGGGGGGAGGUCGCAUCAAUCCUCCUGCCCCUUUUGACCUUGGGUACCCCCCUUUUUCCAUGGGAAGUUCAACGGGUCGCUAGACCGGGGGGUCUUACAUAUUUUUUAAAGGUUUUUUCCGUUUGGAAUGCUGGGUGCCAAUUGCCUGCCAGAAACCGGAAUUGGUUGUAAUUCCGGGUUCGCCCGGCGCGGGGAAUUAGUUUCCGGGCCUUGUACCCCCCCGCCCUCCCCCCCCGAGAGUUUCAACCACCGAAGUCGGUUAGGUUACCCUUUGGAGCCAACCACCUAAGCAAGCAUAGCUCCCGGACGAAGCCACACAAGUACCCG
rnacentral:rRNA from 1 species